rnacentral:tRNA from 1 species
AGUAGCUUACAUAGAUUCCGUGGUCACCUUGACAUGGUGGGGGUCGUUGGUUCGAGUCCAAUCGCGCCUACCA